rnacentral:rRNA from 1 species
AGUGAAUAGAUACCCUGGUAGUCCUAGCCGUAAACGGUGAUCACUAGGUGUUGGAGGCAUCGACCCCUCCAGUGCCGCAGCUAACGCAUUAAGUGAUCCGCCUGGGGAGGUACGGCCGCAAGGUUGAAACUCAAAGGAAAUUGACGGGGGCCCGGCACAAGCGGUGGAGCAUGUGGUUUAAUUCGACGCAACGCGAAGAACCUUACCCAGACUUGACAUGCAUUGGAUAGGUGUGGAAACACACCCUCCUUCGGGGCCGGUACACAGGUGCUGCAUGGCUGUCGUCAGCUCGUGUCGUGAGAUGUUGGGUUAAGUCCCGCAACGAGCGCAACCCUUGUCCUUAGUUGCUAACGGGUAAUGCCGAGCACUCUAAAGAGACUGCCGGUGAU